GUGCUUGCUUCGGCGGCACAUAUACUAAAAUUGGAACGAUACAGAGAAGAUUAGCAUGGCCCCUGCGCAAGGAUAAAAGUCCUUUGAUCAUAUUUCAAUUGGU